rnacentral:ncRNA from 1 species
UUUGCUGUGAGGCAUUCAGUGAAGUAAGCGAGACUACAAAAGCCGGUACUGAUGAACAAGAACUGUAUAUAGAGGCUAGUCGUAUUGGGGUAAGCAAGCACAUCUUUGUAACGCCCACAAGAAAAGGUACAAUUAGUAGAUACAGCAGGAAUUGGCGGGAAGCUAUUUAU